ACGCCCUUGUACAGUGGCGAACUACAAUGAACGGAAGCCCUACAAAACAAGGAUUCCUACGAACGGAGGCAAACGAAUGAACCUCUUGUUUCCAUCCCUCUCACGGCGGUAACACGGGUUCGAGUCCCGUUGGGCGUACCA
rnacentral:tRNA from 1 species